GCGUCAGUGGUCUAACGGAUAAAGCACGCGUUUCCGGAAAGAGUGGGGUGCGGGUUCUAGUCCCGCCUGGCGCU